rnacentral:rRNA from 1 species
AACAGCCCGCCCGGCGAAAUUGUAGUACCGGUGAAGAUGCCGGUUACCCGCGACAAGACGGAAAGACCCCAUGGAGCUUUACUGUAGCCUGAUAUUGGGUUUCGGUGUUGCAUGCACAGGAUAGAUGGGACACUGGGAAGGCAGUGCUUUGGCAUUGCUGGAGUGGACGUUGGGAUACCAUCCUUGCGACAUUGGAAUUCUAACCUGCGCCUCUGAAUCGAGGCGGGGGACAUUGUCAGGUGGGCAGUUUGACUGGGGCGGUCGCCUCCUAAAAAGUAGCGGAGGCGUUCAAAGGUUCGUUCGAUCUGGACGGAAACCAGAUGAUUGAGUGCAAACGCAUAAACGAGCCUGACUGCGAGACUGACGGGUCGAGCAGAGACGAAAGUCGGAGUUAGUGAUCCGGUGGUAUGUGAGUGGAAAUGCCAUCGCUCAACGGAUAAAAGUUACCCUGGGGAUAACAGGCUGAUCUCCCCCAAGAGUCCACAUCGACGGGGAGGUUUGGCACCUCGAUGUCGGCUCAUCGCAUCCUGGGGCUGAAUUCGGUCCCAAGGGUUUGGCUGUUCGCCAAUUAAAGCGGUACGCGAGCUGGGUUCAGAACGUCGUGAGACAGUUCGGUCCCUAUCUGUCGUGGGCGCAGGAUAUUUGAAAGGCGCUGUCCCUAGUACGAGAGGACCGGGAUGGACGAACCUCUGGUGCACCAGUUGUCACGCCAGUGGCACAGCUGGGCAGCUAUGUUCGGAUCGGAUAAACGCUGAAAGCAUCUAAGCGUGAAGCCGGCCUUAAGAUAAGAUAUCCCACUGAGUCAAUCAGGUAAGACCCCUUGAAGACUACAAGGUUGAUAGGCACACAGUGUAAGCGGAGUGAUCCGUUCAGCUAGCGUGUACUAAUAGGUCGAGGGCUUGACCCC